AUGACUUUGCACACCUCUGGCGAACCUGAAAUAGAGAAACCUCCUGAUAAUGAAAAUGAAACUUCUAUCUCAGAUGCUGAAACUCAAUCUGGUAAUGAGCACUCACCUAAUGAAAAAUAUAAUGAUGAGGUUCAUGAAGACUCUCAACCAACAAAUGAUAAAGAACCAAAUAAUGAUGUUGAUAUAGAACCACAUGUUGAUCUUGAUAACCCACAACCUAAGAAUAAAAGAUAUGAUAAAAGAGUCUUUGUGGCUAGGAAACACAGUAAAGAAAGAGAACCAUGGGUUAAAAAACCUAUGCCUUUUCCACCCAAGUCAACUAAAAAGAAUGAUGAUGAAGAAUUUGAACGCUUUGCUGAAAUGCUGAGGCCAGUCUUUUUGCGUACUCGCUUGACUGAUAUCCUGAAAAUGCCUCCUUAUGCAAAGUAUAUGAAAGACAUCAUCACAAAUAAGAGAAAAAUACCGGAAGCUGAAAUCUCCACUAUGCUUGCUAAUUAUACUUUUAAAGAUGGAUUACCUAAUAACUUGGCCGGGAAUACCAACUAUACCUUGCUCUAUCAAAAAGAAUUAUGUGAAAACUGCUUUGUGUGA
rnacentral:rRNA from 1 species